CCACCCAGGCUCCCUGGCAAUGUGAGGUCUCCUGCCCGCCCGGACACCACCGCGCCGUGCGUGCAGAUCCCGGAGGGCGCCCAGGGGUUGGCGGCCGGCAGCGCGGGCUCCCGGGCGCCGCCUCCACUUCUACGCCGCCAGAGACUAGUCCAGCCCGUUCGGGUUCCGGGCAGAGAGACAGUCAGGCGGAGCGGCCCGCGGGGCAGGCGGCUACCUGACAGCUGUGAGCCGAGCCGAGCAGCAGCGCCAGCAGAUAGAAGGGAAGGCGGCAAACCCCAAGGUCCAGCCCUGACCACAGCUGCCCUUCAGGAGACUGGCCUGGAGCCUAAUCAGGUCAUCAGAUUGCUUGUUGAGGGUGGGGCAGCAGCGACUUGUACUGUUCCUCAUGAACUCAGCCUGGGGCUCCAUCUGGCACUCAGCACGGCCACGUCUCAUCUUAAGGUUCUGAAAAGACUUGAAGAAAUUGACAUCACUGGAUGGCUACCCCUGGCCAGAAUGUGGCCUCUAGACUCCAGAGACCUGCCCAGGGACCAAAGGAGAGUGAGGCCUGCCUGGGUCCCUUGGACAACCUGGAGUGUAAGGAGACCCAGGAGCUGAUGCUGACAAGGCUGGCCAUGCAGAGGAAGGCACAGGAAUUUUUCCAGACCUGUGAUGCAGGGGGCAAGGGCUUCAUUGCCAGGAGGGAUAUGCAGAGGCUCCAUAAGGAGUUGCCACUCAGCCUGGAGGACCUGGAGGAUGUAUUUGAUGCCCUGGAUGCUGACGGCAAUGGCUUUCUGACCCCAGAGGAGUUCACCACCGGUUUUAGUCAGUUCUUCUUCAGCCAGAAUAAGCCAACUCAGGAAGAUGCAGGUGAACAGGUGGCUCAGCUCCAGGAAGAGAAGGUAUAUCAAUCCAGAGGAGAAGAGGAACUGGGUGGCAUGGAUGAAGAUGAGGAAGCCCAGUUCCAGAUGCUGAUGGACAAGCUUGGAGCACAAAAGGUUUUAGAAGAUGAAAGUGAUGUCAAGCAACUCUGGCUGCAGCUGAAGAAGGAUGAACCUCACUUACUGUCCAACUUCGAGGAUUUCCUGGCCAGAAUCUUCUCCCAGCUCCAAGAGGCUCAUGAGGAGAAGAACGAACUGGAGUGCGCCCUGAAAAAGAAAAUUGCUGCUUAUGAUGAAGAAAUCCAGCAUCUCUAUGAGGAGAUGGAACAGCAAAUCAAAAGUGAGAAGGAGCAGUUUCUCCUGAAAGACACGGAGAGGUUUCAGGCCCGCAGUCAGGAGCUGGAACAGAAGCUAUUAGCUAAGGAGCAGGAGUUGGAGCAGCUCAUCCAGAAGCAGAAGCGGCUGGAAGGCCAGUGCGCAGCCCUGCAUAAUGACAAGCAUGAAACCAAGGCUGAGAAUACCAAGCUGAAGCUCACCAACCAGGAGCUGGCCCAGGAGCUGGAACGGACCUCCCGGGAGCUGCAGGAUGCUCAGCAGCAGCUAGACAGCCUCCAGCAAGAAGCCCGCAAACUCCACCAGGAGAAGGAGAUGGAAGUGUACCGCGUGACAGAGAGUCUGCAGCGGGAGAAGUCGGGGCUCCUGAAGCAGCUGGAUUUCCUGAGGGAAAGGAACAAGCACCUUCGGGAUGAACGGGACAUACAUUUUCAGAAAGAUAAGACAGCCAAGGCAAACACAGCUGCUUCCAAGGCAAGCUGGAAACAGAGAUCUGGCUCUGUGAUAGGCAAAUAUGUGGACGGCAGAGGGAUUCUUAGAAGGGAGUCAGAGGAAGAAGAAGAUGUGUUUGGCAUGCCGAAGAGUAGAAGCUCCUUGGGCCUGAGUGGAUAUCCCCUUACAGAAGAGGAGUCAGGAUCUAGGGCUGGGGGUCCACUCCCCCGGGCAUUCCGCAGAAUCAUCUCCAUUGAAGAAGAUCCCCUGCCCCAGCUCCUGGAUGGCAGCCUUGAGCAGCCACUGAGCAAAUGCCCAGAAGAGGAGGAGGUCUCCAGCCAGCAAGUGGAAGGACAAAUCCAGCAGGCCCAACCUUCUCAGCUGGAACUCACGCCCACAUCUCCCCGAGGGCAGCCUGUUGGGAAAGAAGCUCUGUCUAAGGAGGAAGAAUCUCCCUCCACUCCGGACCGGCUCUUCAAGAUUGUGUUUGUGGGCAACUCUGCCGUAGGGAAGACAUCUUUCCUGAGGAGAUUCUGUGAGGACCAGUUCUCCCCGGGUUUGACAGCCACUGUGGAUGGGUCUCUUCCCACGUGCUUCAGGAUGUCGUUCUUACUGCAGGACCUUUUUCUAUGCUGUUAUAGUGUCUGGAACAACUUCCUGUCCCUUUCCUUCUGCCCAAUUCUACCCAACGACUGAGAGCAUCCCAAGAUGAAGAAUCAGGACCCUGAAGGAAAAAAAGGCAGAGCCUGUGAACCAAGCCCAGAAGAGUCUGGCCUUGUCGGGCCUGCACUGGAAUGGCUGGGAAUGAGCCAUGUGCGCCGAGCGUGGUAACACAGGAAGCAAUGGCUGUGGGAGACGGGCUUGCUUCCCAGGAGAGCAUUCAGUAGGGUGGGCCCCCACAAGUCAUGGCUCAAGCACUGACCUUUGGGAGGCAGGGAGACAGAUGUUGAAACCUCAGGCCCUUGAAGAUACCCCUCCAAGAAGUGUGCCCAUAGGUGCAGCUCUUGCUGAUAAAAUUGGGGAAUCAGGGAAUCAGUUUUCAGGGUCCCUUUACAUUUCCAGCUUGUGCCCCUGAGAUGGAAGGCUCUGAAAAGAGAAAAUCAAACUAAUUUGCACUUCCCAGGAGGCCAUUUAUGGAAAUACCUACAGGUUAGGAAGGGGAAAAAUAUCAAAGUUUCCAAAUCAGUAAUGACCUUCAUCAUACAUGCAGGAGCAGCAGCUUAAGUUACUGUUCCUGCCACGCAACAUGCCCGGUACACAUGUCAGUAAGCAGAGUCACACCAGCCACCUGAUGUGAUCUGAAUAUUUAUCCUGAGCUUUUAUAUCCAUCAUUUCAAUCUAUCUGAACACAACCCUGGAAAGCAAGUAAAGCCACAGAGUCCUGGCUUUUUGGAGCCAAAGUGGUCCAACCCUAGAUUGGGGUUCUAGACAACCAUCUGCCAGGGAAGCAGCCCCUGCACCAUCCACACAGUACUAACAGGGACUUGGCAAUCCUGUAAAGCUCACCUCUAUCAUCAAAGGGGACUUCCUGGUCUCCCACUUCCUUGUGAGAACAUGAUUUGUACUUGACUCCUGGCUUGUGCAUAAUGUAAGUUCUAUAAUACAACAGUGACUUGAGCAUCCUGUGUACACCACCUUAAGACCAGAUGAUUCCUUCAGAAGCAGGAGCCCUGUGGGUGUCCUGGAGAUGUCAAAUGAUGAUUUUUGUAGACUAUUGGAGCUCAUGUUCGACAUGACUAAUUAUUAGAGGCUAAAGCUCCCUGGAACCCAGGACUCCGAGUCCAGUGCUCUCUCCACUACACCAUGCUGGUUCAUAGCCCCCUGCUCUAAAUCACGGGUCACAACCCAAAGUGUUUCUUCCAAAAGCUUUUCUGAAAAGAAUUCACUCUGCCCUUUCUUGGUCGCCAAUUCAGUUUCUACCCCCAUCUCUACAGAGAAAUCCCUAGAGUUUUCUCCAUGACAACUAGCAGGCACUCUCACUCCCACAUUCCUCCUUCUCUAAAUGACAGCUUGAGCCUAACUUGUCCAGGGAGCCAGGUGGAUCCUGGAGUACUGGAAAAACAGGUUCUGCCCUGUGGUAAGUCUGGUGAGAGUCACUGUCCCCAAACAUGUACUUCUCUCUGCAGCCUCAGGCCCAGGAAGCAGAUAAGCCCAUGGGGGUGGGGGGGGCGGUGGAGGAGUAGGAGACACAAGAAGUCAAAUCCAACAGAAAAGCAACACAAUAAUGUGGAACCUGAACUACACUGACUUCUAAGACCACCACUAGUUCUAACAUCUCAGGAGCCAAGCGACCGUGUUGUGUGUUCCUGGCUCCCUGCAAGACAAGCUCCCUGUCCUCAAGCAAAGCAAUGAGGUAGAGCAAGACCAGAAGGCAGCUGAGACCUGGCUGCCCCUCUCCCUGCAAGCCUUUCCAUCAAGAAGAGAUCUCUGUCCUCAGGGCUUUGCAGCUUGGCCUGGUUUUAGAUCAGGCCCUAAAGAUGUAUUGUCAGUGGUUGGCUUUCUCCUGAGUUGUUAUCAGAAAGUAGGCAGCCCCUUCAGUCUCCCAGAGCACAGACUAGGGAAACCCUUACUUACCCUUUUAGCUGAGAAGAAAACCCACCUUGGAUUCAUCUGUCAACCAGUUAUAAUCCAUUUGGAUGGGAGCACUUAGCUGUAGACUUCCUGGUGAAAUGAAACUGCCAGGUGUCUCUGUGCCCAGGGUACUGGUGUGAAAAGAAGAAUGAGCCUCAAGACACACUGCAGCUGCUGACCAGCUUGGGCAAAGCAUGCCAUUUCUGGACUCCUGUUUCUUCAUCUCUCAUUGAUGCGACAAAUGCACUGCUUUCUCUGGCCCUCAUCUGUGACAUACAGAGCUUCUGGACUCCCUGCUGAUCCUGAUGUUCUAGGAGAGAUGACCCUCCAGCCUCUCUCCCACACCUGGGCCCCUAAUGUAC